UACGAGGGGGGCAAGCGUUGUUCGGAAUUAUUGGGCGUAAAGGGCGCGUAGGCGGUUUGGCAAGUUUCGUGUGAAAUCUUCGGGCUCAACUCGAAGUCUGCACGGAAAACUGCCGGGCUUGAGUAUGGGAGAGGUGAGUGGAAUUUCCGGUGUAGCGGUGAAAUGCGUAGAUAUCGGAAGGAACACCUGUGGCGAAAGCGGCUCACUGGACCAUAACUGACGCUGAGGCGCGAAAGCUAGGGGAGCAAACAGG
rnacentral:rRNA from 1 species